rnacentral:misc_RNA from 1 species
AAGUCGUAACAAGGUCUCCGUAGGUGAACCUGCGGAGGGAUCAUUACCGAGUGAGGGCCCCCGGCCCGACCUCCAACCCUUUGUUAUCAAAACCACUGUUGCCUCGGGGGCGACCCGGGCCCGUCGGGCUCAGGGCCCCCGGUGGACAAUUUCCAAACACUGCAUCUUUGCGUCGGAUUAUAAAGUUUAAUGAAUUAAAACUUUCAACAACGGAUCUCUUGGUUCUG